GCGGCGGACGGGUGAGUAACACGUGGGUAACCUGCCCAUAAGACUGGGAUAACUCCGGGAAACCGGGGCUAAUACCGGAUAACAUUUUGAACCGCAUGGUUCGAAAUUGAAAGGCGGCUUCGGCUGUCACUUAUGGAUGGACCCGCGUCGCAUUAGCUAGUUGGUGAGGUAACGGCUCACCAAGGCAACGAUGCGUAGCCGACCUGAGAGGGUGAUCGGCCACACUGGGACUGAGACACGGCCCAGACUCCUACGGGAGGCAGCAGUAGGGAAUCUUCCGCAAUGGACGAAAGUCUGACGGA
rnacentral:rRNA from 1 species